rnacentral:misc_RNA from 1 species
AUGAAAUGACAAGUCGGUGGAUUGUGCUGGUGCCCCCAAAGGCGCAUGUGCACAUCCAUCGCAAAUCCACACACCUGUGCACUUUAGACUCCGAGCGAGCAGUCCAUUUGGGCCGCACCUCGGAGUAAUUUUACACACUCGUAUGUAAAAGGAUGUUGACGUGCUUAGCACAAUAACAUA